AAACGAAAGAAGGAAAAAAGGGAGGGUUCCAAAAAAAAAAAGAAAAAAAAGAAAAGAAAAAUCUUCCUUCUUCUUCUUGUAUUUGCCCUUGCUGUAUGUGUUGUGUUUGUUGUAUUGUGCAUAUUGUAAGCUGAAUUGUGUUGUU
rnacentral:ribozyme from 1 species